rnacentral:rRNA from 1 species
CAAUAGCGUAUAUUAAAGUUGUUGCAGUUAAAAAGCUCGUAGUUGGAUUUCUGGCAGGGGCGACCGGUCACACACUCUGUGUGUGAACUUGCGUUGUCUCUGGCCAUCCUUGGGAAGAUCCUGUUUGGCAUUAAGUUGUCGGGCAGGGGAUACCCAUCGUUUACUGUGAAAAAAUUAGAGUGUUUAAAGCAGGCUUAUGCCGUUGAAUAUAUUAGCAUGGAAUAAUAAGAUAGGACUUCGGAACUAUUUUGUUGGUUUGCGUUACGAAGUAAUGAUUAAUAGGGACAGUUGGGGGUAUUCGUAUUUCGUUGUCAGAGGUGAAAUUCUUGGAUUUCCGAAAGACGAACUACUGCGAAAGCAUUUACCAAGGAUGUUUUCAUUAA